GCAGGGAAGAAGCGAAAGUGACGGUACCUGCAGAAGAAGCGCCGGCUAACUACGUGCCAGCAGCCGCGGUAAUACGUAGGGCGCAAGCGUUGUCCGGAAUUAUUGGGCGUAAAGAGCUCGUAGGCGGUUUGUCGCGUCUGCUGUGAAAGCCCGGGGCUCAACCCCGGGUCUGCAGUGGGUACGGGCAGACUAGAGUGCAGUAGGGGAGACUGGAAUUCCUGGUGUAGCGGUGAAAUGCGCAGAUAUCAGGAGGAACACCGAUGGCGAAGGCAGGUCUCUGGGCUGUAACUGACGCUGAGGAGCGAAAGCAUGGGGAGCGAACAGGAUUAGAUACCCUGGUAGUCCAUGCCGUAAACGUUGGGCACUAGGUGUGGGGGACAUUCCACGUUUUCCGCGCCGUAGCUAACGCAUUAAGUGCCCCGCCUGGGGAGUACGGCCGCAAGGCUAAAACUCAAAGGAAUUGACGGGGGCCCGCACAAGCGGCGGAGCAUGCGGAUUAAUUCGAUGCAACGCGAAGAACCUUACCAAGGCUUGACAUGGACCGGACCGCCGCAGAAAUGCGGUUUCCCUUCGGGGCUGGUUUACAGGUGGUGCAUGGUUGUCGUCAGCUCGUGUCGUGA
rnacentral:rRNA from 1 species